rnacentral:lncRNA from 1 species
GAGAUAUUACUAUUGGAAUUGAUGACAAGAAAAAGGCCAUUAGAUAUCAUGUUUGAGGGAAACAUGAAUCUACAUAACUUUGCGAGAACUGUCUUACCUGAUCAUGUGAUGGAUAUUGUGGAUUCAACACUUCUAGCUGAUGAUUGUUACAGAGCAUGGUCAGAGCUGUGAGGAUGAGCACACUUGAUUACUUCCUAGCUGACGUGUACAGUUAGUUAGCUGAGUCAGCUCCAUUGUUAACAAACUAGUUUAGUGUGUAUAGCAGAAAUAACAGACUUGGUUUACUUUCUAACUAAGUAUAAAUACAGAGCUUUGAGCGCGAUUGUAAGAUUGAGUUUGUUACUAAUAAAUUCCAGAUUCUUCUUUAUAUUUUCCUUCACUUUCUCAUUGAUUUUCUUACUCUCCAAACACACAAAUAUAAACUCUUUCAUGGUAUCAAAGCAAACAAUGAUGAGCUCCAAUCAAACCUCAGGUUCUUAUAGUUUUGUUACUCCUGUUAAACUCGAUCAGAAUAACUUCAUUGUUUGGAGAACUCAGAUUUUAACGACGAUUAAAGGUAACGGCUUGGAAAGUUUCAUCAAUGGUGACCGAGCUUGUCCAGAGCAAUUUCUUUCAUCAACUGACACUGGAGUUUUUUAUUCAACCAGAUCAGAGGAUCAUGAAAUAAAUCCAGAGUAUUUAGCUUGGGUGAAGACUGAUCAAUUGAUCCUGAGUUGGAUGAUGUCAUCCAUUCAACAAAACCUACUAGCAACGGUGAUUCAUUGCUCCACUGCUAAAGAGCUUCUGGAUAUGCUUACUAGUAUGUUUAUCUUGCAAUCUCAGGCUAGAAUAAUGCCUCUUAAGAUGCAGAUUCAAACACUUAAAAAAGGUUCAAUGUUUAUGAUUGAUUACUUUGCUAAAAUGAAAAAGUUAUCUAAUAGCUUAGCUUUAGCUGAAAAACCUGUUGAAUUGAACGACUUUAUUCAAUAUGUUUUGACUGGACUGGAUUCCUCAGACUAUGAGUCUCUUGUUACGAGUGUCUUAGCUAGAGGUGAUAAGAUUAAUCUUGAUGAGUUUUAUUCCGUACUGUUAAGUCAUGAAAAUAGAGUUGAGCAAAAGAAAGGCAAAAUUGCUAGUGAUGUUACUCAUAAUUUGUCAGCUAAUAUGGCUCAAAAGCAAUUUAAUUCUGGAAAAAAUGCUGGUGGUAAUCCAAAAUAUAAUAAUGGAACUUAUUGAGGAGGUGUCUAUGGAAGUUUUGCUAAUGAAAAUGGUAUGGGACAAUCGGGUGAUGUUAAUUCAACUAUAGUUUGCCAAAUCUGUUUUAUACCGGGUCAUGGAGCUCACAGGUGCAAGAACAGGUAUAACUCUGCUUUUGUACCUUCAAGGAAUCAAGCUAGAGGAAAUUUUAAUAGUAAUUUUAGGCCUGGUCAAAGAAAUUUUGGAAGAGGAUUUGGAAAUCUAGGUGGUAGAUUUUUUAAUGAUGCUUAUGGCAGAGGGUUUAAUCCUCAUUUUGGCAAUGCUUUUACUCAUCCUAAUGCUGGAAAUUUUAAUCUGCCAAGAGGUCCUGGAUAUGAAAGCUAUGUGAUGUACUCAGAUCCAGCUGCAUUUUAUGUUACUCAUCCUGGUAGUUCCACUGGUGCAAGUUCUUCUGCAUCUGGUUUUGGUUUUUCUGGAGAUUACAAUGGUUGUUCUCCUUCUGCUCCCAUAGUUCAUGCUCCUGAAAUGGUUGAAGAUCCUACCUAGUACAUUGAUAGUGGAGCUACUAAUCACAUCACUAAUGAUGCAGGUAAACUUCUUGAACCAAAAACUUAUAGUGGAAGUGAAAAAAUGCUUGUUGGUAAUGGUUCUUUUCUACCUAUUAAACAAAUUGGAUCAGUAUUGCUAGCUACAACUGCACAUGAACCCUUGGUACUAAGUCAUGUUCUUUAUGUUCUUCAAAUAACAAAAAAUUUACUUAGUGUCUCCAAACUUCUAGCUGAUAAUAAUGUCAUUAUUGAGUUUCUUGCAAAUUGUUGUUUUGUUAAUGCUAGGAGCUCAGGGACCAUCUUGCUUAGAGGAAUUACAAAAGGAGGAUUGUAUCAAGUCCAGAUUGCAUCUCAAUCCUCUGCUGAUUGCUCAGCUUUGUUCUGUCAACCUUCUUCCAAUCAAUUUGAGUUUAUAUUUGCUUAUUGUCCUUCUUUGUCCUGUAAUAGUUCUGAUGUCCUGAAUAAUUCUUUUCUUGUCAAUAAUAACUCAUGUAAGUUAGCUUUAAUAGCUAAUACAAGCACUGCUGACAUUAAUCUGCUUCACAAAAGGCUAGGACAUCCAGCUUUUCAUACACUAAAAAAUGUACUAAAGGAUUAUACUGAUUUUACCUUGAAUAAAACCAAACACUUGGAUUUCUGUAAUGCCUGUCAAUUUGGUAAAAGUCAUAUGUUACACUUUGACUCUGUUCUAACAAAAACAAUAGAGCCUCUUCAACUUUUGUAUGCUGACCUUUGGGGUCCUUCUCAUGUUACUUCAACUCAGGGUUAUUCCUAUUAUCUGUCAAUUUUAGAUGAUUUCAGCAGGUUUACUUGGAUGUUUCCCUUGAUUGCUAAAUCAGAUGCCCUUCAAGUGUUCAUAACCUUCAAAAUUUCAUUGAAAAACACUUGCAUAAGCACAUCAAAACUGUUCAAACAUAUUGGGGUGGGGAAUUUAGAAGUUUUUCUACCUAUCUUGCUCAGUUGGUAUUCAAUUCAGACACCCUUGUCCUUAUAUUCACCAUUAAAAUUGUAGAAUAGAAAGGAAACAUAGGCAUAUUGUCGAUAUUGGUCUCACCUUGUUAGCUCAAGCAAGUUUGCCACUGAAAUUCUGGUGGAGUGCUUUUCAUACAAUUGUUUUUCUUAUCAAUAGGCUACUUACCCUAACCUUGAAUAAUAUUUCACCUUAUCAAAAACUCUUUCAUCAAAAGCCUGAUUAUAAUUUUCUCAUAACCUUUGGAUGUGCCAGUUAUCCUUAUCUCAGGCCAUAUAAUAGACACAAACUUGAGUUUAGAAUAGGUAAAUGUGUCUUCAUUGGGUACAGCUCUCAACAUAAAGGGUACCAAUGUCUUCAUUCUUCUGGAAGGGUGUACAUCUCCAAUCAUGUCAUCUUUGAUGAAAAUUCAUUCAUAUAUAUGUCUGGUUCAGACUUUUCUUCUGUCACACAGUCGUGUACCUCAACUGACACAGUUUCCAAUUCCUCCACUGUGUCUACUCCUUCUUUUACUCAUUUUCCAGUACUGCAAUCUCCUCUGCAACCUUUUCAGCAAGUGGUUCCUCAGAGCCUUCAACAACAACUCCUAGCCAGGUAAAUUCACCUUCUUCUUCUCAUACACAACAAUUAUUUGAUGUUUCAUUUUCAAAUGACACUCAAUCACCACCACAUAUAAUACCAGCUGCACCACCAGUAGGACAUCCUAUGAUCACCCGAUCCAAAACUGGUGUUUUCAAGCUAAAAUCUUAUCUUGCUGUUAUUUUAGCCACACCCUCAGAACCUACCUCUGUUUCCCAAGAAAUUACUGAUCCAAAAUGGUUUAAGGCAAUGCAAGAGGAGUAUCAAGCACUUCAAAGCAAUCAUACCUGAGAUUUGGUAUUACCAUCAACACCUGUCAAAGUAAUUGGGUAGCAAGUGGGUUUUCAGAAUUAAAUAUAACUUAGAUGGAAAUAUCUUUAGAUAGAAAGCAAAACUUGUGGCAAAAGGUUUCCAUCAGACACAUGGAAUAGAUUAUACAGAAACAUACAGUCCAGUUGUGAAAGCCUCAACAGUUAGAAUAGUUCUGAGUUUAGUUGUUAUGAACAAAUGGAUUCUCAGACAAGUAGAUGUAAACAAUGCAUUCUUAAAUGAUUUUUUGGCUGAAGAUGUGUACAUGGUACAGCCUGAAGGAUUUGUUGAUUCUACAAAGCCUACUCAUGUCUAUAAACUCAAGAAGGCUAUGUAUAGACUAAAGCAAGCCCCCCGAGCAUGGUUUGACAAGUUCAAAAAUGCUAUGGUGGAUCAGUGGAGCUUUCUAAACUCAAAGUCUGACAUCUCUCUCUUCUAUAAGUGGGAAAAUAGUCAUAUCUUACUUGUCUUAGUUUAUGUUGAUGAUAUAAUUGUUACUGGUUCUAACUAUCAGCUAGUGCGGCAAGUUAUUCACAAUAUGCAGACUACUUUUGCUUUAAAAGAUUUGGGGGAGUUAAGCUAUUUUCUUGGGAUUGAAGUUUCAAAUACAACAGUUGGAGUUCAUCUAUCUCAAGCAAAAUAUAUAGCUGAUCUCUUAGCAAAACAUGAAAUAACAUUGCAGUCCAGUUCCUACUCCUAUGUCCACAGGGCAUCAUCUUAGAAAAGAGUCAGGCUUACCUAUUUCUAAUGCUUCUCAGUAUAGAAGUAUAAUUGGGGCCUUGCAGUAUGUGACUUUAACAAGACUUGAGAUGGCAUUCUCAAUUAAUAAACUUAGUCAAUUAUUAUCCUCACCAAUGACAGAACAUUAAGAAGCAUGUAAAAGACUCUUGAGGUAUUUGAAGGGAUCUAUUCACUUUGGCCUGCAUUUUUAUCAUUGUGGAACCUUACAAGUGAACUGUUUUAGUGAUUUUGAUUGGGCUUGUGGCAAAGAUGAUAGAAAAUCAGUAGCUAGGUAUGCAAUGUAUCUUGGUUUGAAUUUAGUUUCAUGGUGUUCCAAGAAACAACAAGUUGUUUCAAGAUCCAGUACUGAAGCUGAGUACAGAGCCUUAGCUCACGCUACUUCUGAAGUUGUUUAGAUUGAAACUCUACUUGGUGAGUUGAAAAUUAAACUUGUUGCAGCACCUAUUAUGUGGUGUGAUAAUCAAGGUGCCAUAGCUUUGGAUUAUAAUCCAGUUUAUCAUGCUAAAACUAAGCAUGUUGAGUUGGAUAUCCAUUUUAUCAAGGAGAAAGUAGCAGCCAAAAAGAUUGAUGUGCAAUUUGUUCCAAGUGAAGACCAAACUGCAGACAUACUUACCAAGCCACUGACUUUUGAUCGUUUUCAUUAUCUUCGCAGCAAGCUAAAUGUCCAUCCUGGACAGUUUAGGUUGAGGGGGAUGUUACAGAGCAUGGUCAGAGCUGUGAGGAUGAGCACACUUGAUUACUUCCUAGCUGACGUGUAAUAGUUAGUUAGCUGAGUCAGCUCCAUUGUUAACAAACUGGUUUACCGUGUAUAGCAGAAAUAACAGACUUGGUUUACUUUCUAACUAAGUAUAAAUACAGAGCUUUGAGCAUGAUUGUAGAUUGAGUUUGUUACUAAUAAAUUCCAGAUUCUUCUUUAUAUUUUCCUUCACUUUCUCAUUGAUUUUCUUACUCUCCAAACACAUAAAUAUAAACUCUUUCAAUGAUGAAGAUUUGACUAUUACCAGUAAUAAGAGGCAGAGGCAAGCAAGAAUCAAUAACAUCAUAGAAUGUCUC